rnacentral:rRNA from 1 species
AUGAACGCUAGCUACAGGCUUAACACAUGCAAGUCGAGGGGCAUCAGGAAGAAAGCUUGCUUUCUUUGCUGGCGACCGGCGCACGGGUGAGUAACACGUAUCCAACCUGCCCUUUACUCGGGGAUAGCCUUUCGAAAGAAAGAUUAAUACCCGAUAGCAUAAUGAUUCCGCAUGGUUUCAUUAUUAAAGGAUUCCGGUAAAGGAUGGGGAUGCGUUCCAUUAGGUUGUUGGUGAGGUAACGGCCCACCAAGCCUUCGAUGGAUAGGGGUUCUGAGAGGAAGGUCCCCCACAUUGGAACUGAGACACGGUCCAAACUCCUACGGGAGGCAGCAGUGAGGAAUAUUGGUCAAUGGGCGCUAGCCUGAACCAGCCAAGUAGCGUGAAGGAUGAAGGCUCUAUGGGUCGUAAACUUCUUUUAUAUAAGAAUAAAGUGCAGUAUGUAUACUGUUUUGUAUGUAUUAUAUGAAUAAGGAUCGGCUAACUCCGUGCCAGCAGCCGCGGUAAUACGGAGGAUCCGAGCGUUAUCCGGAUUUAUUGGGUUUAAAGGGAGCGUAGGUGGACUGGUAAGUCAGUUGUGAAAGUUUGCGGCUCAACCGUAAAAUUGCAGUUGAUACUGUCAGUCUUGAGUACAGUAGAGGUGGGCGGAAUUCGUGGUGUAGCGGUGAAAUGCUUAGAUAUCACGAAGAACUCCGAUUGCGAAGGCAGCUCACUGGACUGCAACUGACACUGAUGCUCGAAAGUGUGGGUAUCAAACAGGAUUAGAUACCCUGGUAGUCCACACAGUAAACGAUGAAUACUCGCUGUUUGCGAUAUACAGUAAGCGGCCAAGCGAAAGCAUUAAGUAUUCCACCUGGGGAGUACGCCGGCAACGGUGAAACUCAAAGGAAUUGACGGGGGCCCGCACAAGCGGAGGAACAUGUGGUUUAAUUCGAUGAUACGCGAGGAACCUUACCCGGGCUUAAAUUGCAGUGGAAUGAUGUGGAAACAUGUCAGUGAGCAAUCACCGCUGUGAAGGUGCUGCAUGGUUGUCGUCAGCUCGUGCCGUGAGGUGUCGGCUUAAGUGCCAUAACGAGCGCAACCCUUAUCUUUAGUUACUAACAGGUUAUGCUGAGGACUCUAGAGAGACUGCCGUCGUAAGAUGUGAGGAAGGUGGGGAUGACGUCAAAUCAGCACGGCCCUUACGUCCGGGGCUACACACGUGUUACAAUGGGGGGUACAGAAGGCAGCUAGCGGGUGACCGUAUGCUAAUCCCAAAAUCCUCUCUCAGUUCGGAUCGAAGUCUGCAACCCGACUUCGUGAAGCUGGAUUCGCUAGUAAUCGCGCAUCAGCCACGGCGCGGUGAAUACGUUCCCGGGCCUUGUACACACCGCCCGUCAAGCCAUGGGAGCCGGGGGUACCUGAAGUACGUAACCGCAAGGAUCGUCCUAGGGUAAAACUGGUGACUGGGGCU